rnacentral:rRNA from 1 species
AAUGGGUCAGCGACUUAUAUUCUGUAGCAAGGUUAACCGAAUAGGGGAGCCGAAGGGAAACCGAGUCUUAACUGGGCGUUAAGUUGCAGGGUAUAGACCCGAAACCCGGUGAUCUAGCCAUGGGCAGGUUGAAGGUUGGGUAACACUAACUGGAGGACCGAACCGACUAAUGUUGAAAAAUUAGCGGAUGACUUGUGGCUGGGGGUGAAAGGCCAAUCAAACCGGGAGAUAGCUGGUUCUCCCCGAAAGCUAUUUAGGUAGCGCCUCGUGAAUUCAUCUCCGGGGGUAGAGCACUGUUUCGGCAAGGGGGUCAUCCCGACUUACCAAC